CCAGACUCCUACGGGAGGCAGCAGUGGGGAAUAUUGCACAAUGGGGGGAACCCUGAUGCAGCGACGCCGCGUGGGCGAGGAAGUAUUUCGGUAUGUAAAGCCCUAUCGGCAGGGAAGAAGAAAUGACGGUACCUGAAUAAGAAGCACCGGCUAAAUACGUGCCAGCAGCCGCGGUAAUACGUAGGUGGCAAGCGUUGUCCGGAUUUACUGGGUGUAAAGGGCGUGUAGCCGGGUUGACAAGUCAGAUGUGAAAUCCUGCGGCUUAACCGCAGAACUGCAUUUGAAACUGUUGAUCUUGAGUACUGGAGAGGCAGACGGAAUUCCUAGUGUAGCGGUGAAAUGCGUAGAUAUUAGGAGGAACACCAGUGGCGAAGGCGGUCUGCUGGACAGCAACUGACGGUGAGGCGCGAAAGCGUGGGGAGCAAACAGGAUUAGAUACCCUCGAGGG
rnacentral:rRNA from 1 species